AGAGUUUGAUCCUGGCUCAGAUUGAACGCUGGCGGCAUGCCUUACACAUGCAAGUCGAACGGUAACAGCACUUCGGUGGCUGACGAGUGGCGAACGGGUGAGUAAUACAUCGGAACGUGCCCGAGAGUGGGGGAUAACGCAGCGAAAGCUGUGCUAAUACCGCAUACGAUCUACGGAUGAAAGCAGGGGACCGCAAGGCCUUGCGCUCACGGAGCGGCCGAUGGCAGAUUAGGUAGUUGGUGGGAUAAAAGCUUACCAAGCCGACGAUCUGUAGCUGGUCUGAGAGGACGACCAGCCACACUGGGACUGAGACACGGCCCAGACUCCUACGGGAGGCAGCAGUGGGGAAUUUUGGACAAUGGGCGAAAGCCUGAUCCAGCCAUGCCGCGUGCAGGAUGAAGGCCCUCGGG
rnacentral:rRNA from 1 species